CCUAAAUACUACCUGAUGACCGAUAGAGGAGCAGUACCGUGAGGGAAAGGUGAAAAGGACCCCGGGAGGGGAGUGAAAGAGAACCUGAAACCUUGUGCUUACAAGCUGUCAAAGCACGUUAACGUGUGAUGGCGUACUUUUUGUAGAACGGUCCGGCGAGUUAUAGUAACGAGCGAGCUUAAGGUAUUCAGUACCGGAGGCGAAGCGAGAGCGAGUCUGAAUAGGGCGUAAAGUUCGUUGCCAUAGACCCGAAACCGGGUGACCUACCCAUGAGCAGGUUGAAGUGGGGGUGAAACCCCAUGGAGGACCGAACCGACCCCCGUUGCAAUGGUGGCGGAUGACUUGUGGGUAGCGGUGAAAUUCCAAUCGAACUCGGAGAUAGCUGGUUCUCCCCGAAAUAGCUUUAGGGCUAGCGUUAUGUUAGAUUACCGGAGGUAAAGCACUGAAUGGUAGCGGGGCCGAUAAGGUUACCAACGCCUAUCAAACUAAGAAUGCCGGCUAAUUGAUGCAUAGCAGUCAGACAGUGUGAGAUAAGUUUCAUUGUCAAAAGGGAAACAGCCCAGACCUACAGCUAAGGUCCCAAAUAGAUGCUAAGUGGAAAACGAUGUGGAGUUGCGAAAACAACCAGGAUGUUGGCUUAGAAGCAGCCACUCAUUAAAAGAGUGCGUAAUAGCUCACUGGUCGAGUGACUCUGCGCGGAAAAUGUAACGGGGCUAAGCAUCUAACCGAAGCUUAGGAUUGUCGUAAGACAGUGGUAGGGGAGCGUUCCAUGUGGGGCGAAGUCGUAGCGGAAGCAGCGGUGGACUGCAUGGAAGUGAGAAUGCCGGAAUGAGUAGCGAGAAUUAUGUGGGAAUCAUAAUGGCCGAAAAUCUAAGGUUUCUUGGGGAAGGUUCGUCCGCCCAAGGUAAGCCGGGAGCUAAGGCGAGGCCGAAAGGCGUAGUCGAUGCACAUACGGUAGAAAUUCCGUAGCCACCGAACUUUAAGUCAGAGGGACACUUUUGGAUAGCGGAACCCGGGCGUUGGUUGACCCGGGCGAAAGGGAGCGAAAAUAUAGUAGCGAAGUCCGCGAUGCUGAGAGGCGAGAAAAGCUCUGAUGGAUACUAAGGUGCCCGUACCGCAAACCGACACAGGUAGAUGAGGAGAGAAUCCUAAGGCCAACGGGAGAAGGGUUGUUAAGGAACUCGGCAAGUUGACCCCGUAACUUCGGAAUAAGGGGAGCCUCGCAAGAGGCCGCAGUGAAAAGGCCCAAGCAACUGUUUACCAAAAACACAGGUCUAUGCUAAAUCGAAAGAUGACGUAUAUGGGCUGACGCCUGCCCGGUGCCGGAAGGUUAAGAGGAGAUGUCAGCGCAAGCGAAGCAUUGAAUUGAAGCCCCGGUAAACGGCGGCCGUAACUAUAACGGUCCUAAGGUAGCGAAAUUCCUUGUCAGGUAAGUUCUGACCCGCACGAAAGGCGUAAUGAUUUGGGCACUGUCUCAACAGCCCGCCCGGCGAAAUUGUAGUACUGGUGAAGAUACCAGUUACCCGCAACUAGACGGGAAGACCCCAUGGAGCUUUACUGCAGCUUAAUACUGGAAUUCGGUAACCCAUGUACAGGAUAGGUGGGAGGCUUGGAAGCAGGGGCGUCAGCUCUUGUGGAGCCGCCGGUGGGAUACCACUCUUGGAUUGCUGAAUUUCUAACCUGCGGCCGUGAAUCCGGUCGGGGGACACUGUUAGGCGGGCAGUUUGACUGGGGCGGUCGCCUCCUAAAGAGUAACGGAGGCGCUCAAAGGUUGGCUCAGCACGGACGGAAAUCGUGCAGUGAGUGUAAACGUAAAAGCCAGCCUAACUGCGAGACCGACGGGUCGAGCAGUAACGAAAGUUGGAGUUAGUGAUCCGGUGGUAUGUGAGUGGAAAUGCCAUCGCUCAACGGAU
rnacentral:rRNA from 1 species